CCUCCUUUUAUUUACAUGUUUUUGUUUGAUCGGCAACAAUUUAGAGUCGCUUGUUCACUUGAUUGGUGGUGAAUUGAGUGCUGUACGUUGCCUAUAUGAACUGGUGCUAAUAUUCUGGCAUUGCAGGAUUCAGUUUCUGUAAAUGCAUUCUGAGUUGCUUGUGAAUUUGUGAGUUUUAGCUUUACAAACGGUUUUUUUUAAGUGUCGAUUGAAGAAGAGUACGCUUAAAAUUAAUCUGAAUCUUAAAUGUAUUAGCUGGUUGACCAAAUUGGUAAAUGAUGUUU
rnacentral:lncRNA from 1 species